UCACUACUCCCUCCGUCCGGAAAUACUUGUCAUCAAAAUAAAUAAAACGGGAUGUAUCUAGAUGUAUUUUAGUUCUAGAUACAUCCCUUUUUGUCUGUUUUGAUGACAAGUAUUUUCGGACGGAGGGAGUACUUU
rfam:Triticum aestivum genome assembly, contig: Triticum_aestivum_CS42_TGACv1_scaffold_001511_1AL